GAUGAACGCUGGCGGCGUGCCUAACACAUGCAAGUCGAACGUGAGGGUGCAGCGAUGUGCCUGAAAGUGGCGAACGGGUGAGUAACACGUAGGUGACCUGCCCUGAAGUGGGGGAUAACCACUGGAAACGGUGGCUAAUACCGCAUGAGCCUUGCUGGGUGGGAAUUUAGCAAGGGAAAGCUUUAGUGCUUCAGGAGGGGCCUGCGUCCGAUUAGCUAGUUGGUGGGGUAAAGGCCUACCAAGGCGAUGAUCGGUAGCUGGUCUGAGAGGAUGAUCAGCCACACGGGAACUGAGAAACGGUCCCGACUCCUACGGGGGGCAGCAGUGAGGAAUAUUGCUCAAUGGGCGAAAGCCUGAAGCAGCAACGCCGCGUGGAGGAAGAAGGUCUUCGGAUUGUAAACUCCUUUUCUUAGGGACGAGGAAGGACGGUACCUGAGGAAUAAGUCACGGCUAACUACGUG
rnacentral:rRNA from 1 species